ACUGCUGUGAUAAUCAUAACCAUU
rnacentral:siRNA from 1 species